rnacentral:tRNA from 1 species
GCGGGUAUAGUUUAGUGGUAAAAUCCUGGCCUUCCAAGCUAAGGAUGCGGGUUCGAUUCCCGCUACCCGCU